GAAACCAGUAAUAGAUAAAGAUAUAUGAAGUAGUUAUACUUUUACAUAAUGUGAUUUGGUUAUAUGUUAAAGUAUUUCAUUUGAGACAUUCACAUGAUUUAUCUGUGACAUUUAGUAAUGCAUCAUUAGUUACGUCAGAAAAUGGGCUGAUAAAUGUUCCCAGAUUCACCAACAUGUGUAGUUUUAUACAGAGCCUUCACCGUGUGCUGCCACUUUGCAUCAGCAGUCAGAAAGGAGACUCUCUGGGGGGCAGUUUGAUAGUGGUGAUGCUGCACAACUCUGGUUUAUUCUCUCUUCCCUCUCUCUCUUCUCUCUCCUCUUGCUCUCUUCAUCUGAACCCUUUCUCUCUAUCUCUCUAUUCCCGCUCUUCCCUCUUCCUCUUCCCUCUCUCUCACUAUUCCCUCUUUCCUCUCUCUCACUUUUCUUUCUUCCCUCUUCCCUCUCUCUUCCCUAUUCCCUCUCUCUCACUCUUUCCCUCUUCCCUCUCUCUUCCCUCUCUCUCACUCUUUCCCUCUCUCCUCUCUCUUCCCUCUUCCCUCUCUCUUCCCUCUUCCCUCUCUCUUCCCUCUUCCCUCUCUCUCACUCUUUCCCUCUUCCCUCACUCUUCCCUCUUCCCUCUCUCUUCCCUCUUCCCUCUCUCUCUCUUUCCCUCUUCCCUCUCUCUCUCUCUUUCCCUCUUCCCUCUCUCUCACUCUUCCCUCUCACUAUUUCCCUCUUCCCUCUCUCUUCCCUCUUCCCUUUCUCUCACUCUUCCCUCUUCCUUCCCUCUUCCCUCUUCCCUCUCUACCCUCUUCCCUCUCUCUCACUCUUCCCUCUUCCCCACUCUUCCCUCUUUUCUCUCUCUUCCCUCUUUCCUCUCUCUUCCCUCUUCCCUUUCUCACUCUUUCCCUUUCUCACUCUUUCCCUCUCUCACUCUUUCCCUCUUCUCUCUCACUCUUUUCCUCUCUCACUCUUUCCCUCUUCCCUCUUCCCUCUUCCCUCUCUCCCUCUUCCCUCUUCCCUCUCUCACUCUUUCCCUCUUCCCUCUUCCCUCUCUCACUCUUUCCCUCUUCCCUCUCUCACUCUUUCCAUCUUCCCUCUUCCCUCUCACUCUUCCCUCUCACUCUUUCCCUCUUCACUCUUUCCCUCUUCCCUCUCACUCUUCCCUCUCACUCUUUCCCUCUUCCCUCUCACUCUUUCCCUCUUCCCUCUCACUCUUUCCCUCUUCCCUCUUUCCCUCUUCCCUCUUCCCUCUCACUCUUCCCUCUCACUCUUUCCCUCUUUCAUCUCUCACUCUUUCCCUCUUCCCUCUUCCCUCUCACUCUUUCCCUCUUCCCUCUCUCACUCUCUCUCACUCUUUCCCUCUUCCCUCACUCUUCCCUCUUCCCUCUCUCUUCCCUCUUCCCUCUCUCUCUCUUUCCCUCUUCCCUCUCUCUCUCUCUUUCCCUCUUCCCUCUCUCUCACUCUUCCCUCUCACUAUUUCCCUCUUCCCUCUCUCUUCCCUCUUCCCUUUCUCUCACUCUUCCCUCUUCCUUCCCUCUUCCCUCUUCCCUCUCUACCCUCUUCCCUCUCUCUCACUCUUCCCUCUUCCCCACUCUUCCCUCUUUCCUCUCUCUUCCCUCUUUCCUCUCUCUUCCCUCUUCCCUUUCUCACUCUUUCCCUCUCUCACUCUUUCCCUCUUCUCUCUCACUCUUUUCCUCUCUCACUCUUUCCCUCUUCCCUAUCUCACUCUUUCCCUCUUCCCUCUUCCCUCUCUCACUCUUUCCCUCUUCCCUCUUCCCUCUCUCACUCUUUCCCUCUUCCCUCUUCCCUCUCUCACUCUUUCCCUCUUCCCUCUCUCACUCUUUCCAUCUUCCCUCUUCCCUCUCACUCUUCCCUCUCACUCUUCCCUCUCACUCUUUCCCUCUUCACUCUUUCCCUCUUCCCUCUCACUCUUCCCUCUCACUCUUUCCCUCUUCCCUCUCACUCUUUCCCUCUUUCCCUCUUCCCUCUUUCACUCUUCCCUCUCACUCUUUCCCUCUUUCAUCUCUCACUCUUUCCCUCUUCCCUCUUCCCUCUCACUCUUUCCCUCUUCCCUCUCUCACUCUUUCCCCUUCCCUCUUCCCUCUCACUCUUCCCUCUCACUCUUUCACUCUUCCCUCUCACUCUUUCCCUCUUCCCUCUCACUCUUUCCCUCUUCCCCUCUUUCACUCUUUCCUUCUUCCCUCUCUCACUCUUUCCCUCUUCCCUCUCACUCUUCCCUCUCACUCUUUCCCUCUUCCCUCUCACUCUUUCCCUCUUCCCCUCUUUCACUCUUUCCUUCUUCCCUCUCUCACUCUUUCCCUCUUCCCUCUCACUCUUUCCCUCUUCCCUCUUCCCUCUUUCCCUCUUCCCUCUCUCACUCUUUCCCUCUUCCCUCUCACUCUUUCCCUCUUCCCUCUCACUCUUUCCCUCUUCCCUCUCACUCUUUCCCUCUUCCCUCUCACUCUUUCCCUCUUCCCUCUUUCACUCUUUCCCUCUUCCCUCUCUCACUCUUUCCCUCUUCCCUCUCUCACUCUUUCCCUCUUCCCUCACUCUUCACUCUUCCCUCUCUCUUACCUCUCUCUUCCCUCUUCCUUCCCUCUCUCUUCCCUCUUCCCUCUCUUCCCUCUCUCUUCUUCCCUCUCCCCCACUCUUCCCUCACUCUUCCCUCUCUUUUCCCUCUUCCUUCUCUCUCUCUCUCUCUCUCCCCCUUGUGUCUCUCUUCCCUCUCCUCUCUCUCUCCCACCCCUUCCCUCUCUCAUCUCUCUCUCGUCCCUCUCUCUCUCUCUCUCUCUCCUCUCUCUCCCCCUUGUGUCUCUCUUCCCUCUCCUCUAUCUCUCCCACCCCUUCCCUCUCUCAUCUCUCUCUCGUCCCUCUCUCUCCUCUCUCUUCCCUCUCUCCCCCUCCCCCCUACCCUCUCUCUCUCUCUCCAGGACUUUACACAGCAGGAGACUAUUAUAGUUUUCAAUGCUCUUCCCUUUGAGGUUCAGCGUGGCUGGACUAUCAUUGCCCUGCCAGACAUAUUUGGGUUGACAUUUUAGUUAAAGGGAGGUUUCUUGACAGUUUAUUGUGUCUUGUUAUUUGAACUGUAUUGAUGUGGUACUAAUGACAUGUGGCCCAGAAGAUUGUGGACAUUUUAAGGCCUUUGUUUGUCUAUGACCCCCCACCAUUCAUACCCUCUGCACUCCUCCACUGGGAGGUAAUACAGAUUACUGCAAAUCCUCUCAUGUUGAUGAAUGGGUUCUUUCUUGUAAAUUGCUUCUAGGAAGUUGUUGUUAAAUUGCUCUGCCAUCAUUAUUUUAUGAGGUAUUAUUGGUGGGGUUCCCUCUGUGCUGUGAUGGGUGUUUUAUAUGGUGAGUUAUCUUUUCUCUCCACUGGCUAUCUGGCUAACAGGCUACACUCUAGACAGUCUCUUCUGCUGAUGUGUGUGUGUCUGGUAGUGGGUCUCUCUCUAUCCUACUCUUUUCCUUUCUGCAGGGUUAAUACCUGCCUGGCGCCCCAACAAAUCUUUACCUUUACCCCUCUCUAACAAUACUGCUACAAGAUUUGCCAACACAAAGUUUUAAAUGUCAAAUGUUUCUACAAGACAAUAACAA
rnacentral:lncRNA from 1 species